AUAAAAAAAAAUGUGCUUUUAAACAUUUAACAUCUUUUGGUGUGACAUUAUAAAUUCAUAAUCAUACAUGUAACAGUUAAAAUAAGCGGGGAGAGGGGGGGUUACUUUCAGCAAGGACGGCCACUACCAACAACCAAGCCCCGAAACCCAUAUCCCGAAGGCAAAUAAGUUGAGGUGUCAAGCAAGAAACAAUUUUUUUUCUGCUCUUGCCUCAUGUAUUUAACCCCUUUUUUUCUAAAUAUACUAGGCCUACACAUCAUAUCGGCAAAAAUAUUUAGGAGCCCCUCUUUUUAUUCCAUGAAAAGGGGAAAACUUAAUUAAAUUCUAAUAUAAGAUCUCAUAAUCACACUUAAUCAUAGUGAAUGUAAACAGUUUAUAUUUCCCAUCCUGCAUCGCUCUGUAGGCGCUUUAUUUCAUUGGUCAAUUUCCCGAGGCGCCAUUUUUGGAGGAUCGAGAAGGACGAAGAAGAAGGUGUAAGCAGCUGGUAAAUGUGAAAAGUUAAGAUGGUUUCACCACCCAGUGUCUUUAAGACUGUGAUAAUUGCAAUGGCCAACGAUGAAGGAUUAGUAGAGAAGAAAACUGUGUGACUUUAAAAGAAAACCAGUGAGAUAAAAUCAUAGAAAAUGUAUGAUGAUUCAGGAUGUGGUCAUUUGUGACAUUAAAACAGGAAUUGUCAUCACCAAUAGACGAAUUUCACAUUCCUAAGAGUUUUCUCCAAUUGUCGGCGUAUCGCUCAUUUUCCCCACUUUGUCCUUUGUCCUGUUCUGUGCAUGCCCUAAGACAGUGUCUACCCAUCACUCCAUCUGAUAUCACUUGUUCUGUGCAUAUUUCUCUCUCAAACUUAAACUACAGAGAGCCUGUGGAUAGAGGAUGAAGAGUGACCUUGGACUAAUUUUCUAGGUCAAAGAUCAUAGGUGAUGUGAAGAAAACCAGGAAACUGAUGUUGAAAGAAGUACUUAAUGACCCUUAUGAAUGGACUUAAAUGUGAAAGACUGUUCCAUUGUUUAUCUAAGAUAUAUGAAUUUAUUUAAUAUUUUGAUAUCAUUGUAAAAUUCAGUUACAGUUUUUG